GAUGAACGCUAGCUACAGGCUUAACACAUGCCAGUCGAGGGGCAGCGGGAUUGAAGCUUGCUUCAAUUGCCGGCGACCGGCGCACGGGUGAGUAACGCGUAUCCAACCUUCCGUACACUCAGGGAUAGCCUUUCGAAAGAAAGAUUAAUACCUGAUGGUAUGAUGAGAUUGCAUGAUAUCAUCAUUAAAGAUUUAUCGGUGUACGAUGGGGAUGCGUUCCAUUAGGUAGUAGGCGGGGUAACGGCCCACCUAGCCAACGAUGGAUAGGGGUUCUGAGAGGAAGGUCCCCCACAUUGGAACUGAGACACGGUCCAAACUCCUACGGGAGGCAGCAGUGAGGAAUAUUGGUCAAUGGACGAGAGUCUGAACCAGCCAAGUAGCGUGAAGGAGGAAGGUCCUACGGAUUGUAAACUUCUUUUAUAAGGGAAUAAACCCUCCCACGUGUGGGAGCUUGUAUGUACCUUAUGAAUAAGCAUCGGCUAACUCCGUG
rnacentral:rRNA from 1 species